rnacentral:tRNA from 1 species
GUCAAGAUGGCCGAGCGGUCUAAGGCGCUGCGUUCAGGUCGCAGUCCGGUCUUCCGGGCGUGGGUUCGAAUCCCACUUCUGACA